rnacentral:rRNA from 1 species
AUGAACGCUGGCGGCGUGCCUCAUCCAUGCCAGUCGCGCGAACAGACGAGGAGCUUGCUCCUCUGACGUUAGCGGCGGACGGGUGAGUAACACGUGGAUAACCUACCUAUAAGACUGGGAUAACUUCGGGAAACCGGAGCUAAUACCGGAUAAUAUAUUGAACCGCAUGGUUCCAUAGUGAAAGACGGUUUUGCUGUCACUUAUAGAUGGAUCCGCGCCGCAUUAGCUAGUUGGUAAGGUAACGGCUUACCAAGGCAACGAUGCGUAGCCGACCUGAGAGGGUGAUCGGCCACACUGGAACUGAGACACGGUCCAGACUCCUACGGGAGGCAGCAGUAGGGAAUCUUCCGCAAUGGGCGAAAGCCUGACGGAGCAACGCCGCGUGAGUGAUGAAGGUCUUCGGAUCGUAAAACUCUGUUAUUAGGGAAGAACAAAUGUGUAAGUAACUAUGCACGUCUUGACGGUACCUAAUCAGAAAGCCACGGCUAACUACGUG